ensembl:snoRNA small nucleolar RNA SNORD103/SNORD85
UCUGGCUAUGAUGACACACUUGCCCUCACUGAGAUCAGGCUUGACUGAGACACUCGUACUCUCCUGAGCCACA